rnacentral:rRNA from 1 species
CAGUAGCCACGGGAAUACAGAGGGUGCGAGCGUUAAUCGGAUUUACUGGGCGUAAAGCGUGCGUAGGCGGCUUCUUAAGUCGGAUGUGAAAUCCCUGAGCUUAACUUAGGAAUUGCAUUCGAUACUGGGAAGCUAGAGUAUGGGAGAGGAUGGUAGAAUUCCAGGUGUAGCGGUGAAAUGCGUAGAGAUCUGGAGGAAUACCGAUGGCGAAGGCAGCCAUCUGGCCUAAUACUGACGCUGAGGUACGAAAGCAUGGGGAGCAAACAGGAUUAGAUACCCCUGUAGUCCCUGUCUCUUAUAC